rnacentral:lncRNA from 1 species
AGUUUAGUAGCCCUUCUCUGAACCCUCUCUAAGGUAUCAAUAUCCUUCUGGAGAUAUGGUCUCCAGUACAGCGUACAAUACUCAAGUGAGGUCUCACCAGUGUUCUGUACAAUGGCAUGAGCACUUCCCUCUUUCUACUGCUAAUACCUCUCCCUAUACAACCAAACAUUCUGCUAGCAUUUCCUGCUGCUCUAUUACAUUGUCUGCCUACCUUUAAGUCAUCUGAAAUAAUUAUACAAAUAGUAAAGUGUAAUAUUUGGCACUUAGAGGCUAAAUUGAUAUCCACACGUAUGUUUUGUUUUGAAAACUCCCAUUAACUCGUCAAAGAUUAAACUUAUCAUUUAUCUUUAUAAGUGUGGUUGAUCUAAAGAUAAAAACAAAACAUCUUUUAUUUUAAAAUUUCUAUUACAAUUGUGAAUUUGGUAAUUUAUUUAAACAUAACUAAGUUUCAGCUUGUUUGAUGAAUAGACAUAACCCCUAUGAAGUUUCAUGUCUCAAUAUUCCUUUAUGAAGAAAAAUCACUGAUGCAUGCCCAUGAAAUGUACUGUCAACAUCUAUGCUUAAAUUAGGAGUUGCAUUGAGCUGACAAACAUCUUGAAACAUUAAGUGCAAAAUUAUCAAGUUUAUAGAAAACAUAUCUAACUGAGGGCCAGAUUUUAUUAUAAGAUAAAAUAUCUAUUAUACGAUACAUGUUUACGUCUAAUUGAACACCAUUUUUUCCGUAAAAGUCAAGGGAAGAAAUGCUAUUUAGUUAUAACAAUUACAUUUAUCUCUUGUAAUAGAAUCCAGGCCCGAACUGCUGCUAAGUGUUCCAGUUAACCUGAUUAGAUAUUGAAUUAAUUGUAUAAUGAUGUGUAAAAUCAAUGUUGAGUGAAACAUUUCAAGAGAACCUGCCUCACUCAUCACUUCUACGAUAGCUUUACCUCAGCUCCAAAAUGCAUUCUAUUGAUUAAAUUUCUAUGGCUGGAUUUUGAACAUGGAUGAAGUGUAAGAAUUAUAAAUAAAAACGUAACCAGAACAAGUAGACCCCAGUAGGGCAAGGAGUGAACUGAGGAACCCACCUUACUUUCAAAAUAUAAUCAUUUAUACACUUCCUUUUUAGGUUUACCAUAAUAUUAAUCACAGAUAAUACACAAGAAAAUAAGUUUAUUGCUUGGCAUUUCCCACUGGGCUUCCAAAUCCUCGUGUCUGAGCUUGCUAAAAUACAUAUUAGACAUGGAGAUUUACAUUGGUCAGAUUAAAAAAAUUUUAACUUUUUUUUAAUUAUUCAAAUUUUUAAUUGGUUUAUGUUUUUCAAUCAACAAAGCAGUAGCACUGAUCAUACAAAGAUGUACAUAGUAGACAUGUGCACCAGUGAAAUUUUCAUUUCGUACGAAUGAAUUCUUACUAAAUAAAAAUGUAAUUCAUUCAUUUUGAAUUUAGUCUGUAAACUAUUAGUUUUCAGAUGAAAUUCGGUAAAAAAAUUAUUUGUUUUUGGCCAUUAGGACAAAAAUACCACUGCGCAUGCCCUACCAGCUCCCUCCUUGUAAUAAAUAAUAUUAAUUCCUACCCAACCAGCAUUAAAAACCUACGGGGGUCACUGUGACCCCCAUAUUAAUAAAAGAGAGGUUAAAUCCUCCCGCAUGACCCUACUUGUGGCAUGCCACGAGUAGGGGCAUGUCACCAAAACAGCGAGCACCCAAAUAACAAAAAUGGGGGGGGCUAUUAAUAUAAUUGAGGGGACCUAGGGUCCCCCUCAGGCCACCACCCAUGACCGGCGGGUGGGGACCUUAAUUAAAUAAAUAAUGGGGGGGACUUAAUGUCCCCCCCAGGUCCCCACCAAUGACUGGCGGGUGGGGACCUUAAUUAAAUAACUAAUGGGGGGGACCUAAUGUCCUCCCAGGUCCCCACCCAUGAGAGGUGGGUGGGGACCCUAAUUAAAUAAAGGGGGUACCUAAUUCCCCCCCCAGGUCCCCACCCAUGACCGGCGAGUGGGAACUUUAGUUAAAUAAAUAAUGGGGGUACCUAAUGUCCCCUCCCAUGAGCGACAGGUUUGGAUCUUAAUUAAAUAAAUAAUAAGGGUCCAAAUGUCACCCCCAGGUCCCCACCCAUGAGCGGCAGGUGGGGGCCCUUAAUUAAAUAAAUAAUGGGGUCCUAAUGUCUCCCCCACGGCCUUCACCCAUGAGCGGAGGGUGGGGGCCCUAAAUGACAAUAAAGGGGGGAUCUAUUGUCUCCCCCCGACCCCCAACCAUAAAUAUAAAAAAAUCGCACAAACCAAAGACCACCCUUGUGCUUGUUAAGUCUAAUUGACAACUUGUAACGAUUUCCACUUCAGUGUUCUACUUGUUCGUCUGGGUGGCCGCAGUACGUAUGAACGACCACGAGGUGGCGGCCAUCUUGUUCCCGCAAAUGCAGGCAGUGGUGUUUGGGUGCUGAGCUAGCACUGAUUUCAUGGAACUAUUUUGGUCUUAAGCCACAUGUGCGGUCGGUUAAAAAUAGGUCUGGGUGAUUUUUGGAUAUGUUGGUCACCCAGACCUGGACUAUCAGGGGAUGUGACUUUUGUGGUGUUUUCGUGUAUUUUUUGUGCAUUUUGAUGUGUUUUAGAAAUUGUUAUAUUUUCUGUCCCUGAGAGAUAAUUAAAAUAUAAGUGUUUGCUCAGGUAAUUAUCUCUCAGGCACAGAGGAUCCUGGAAAUGAAACAUAGAAACAUAGAAUGUGACGGCAGAUAAGAACCAUUCGGCCCAUUUAGUCUGCCCAAUUUUCUGAAUACUUUCAUUAGUCCCUAGCCUUAUCUUAUAGUUAGGAUAGCCUUAUGCAUAUCCCACGCAUGCUUAAACUCCUUUACUGUGUUAACCUCUACCACUUCAGCUGGAAGGCUAUUCCAUGCAUCCACUACCCUCUCAGUAAAGUAAUACUUCCUGAUAUUAUUUUUUAAACCUUUGUCCCUCUAAUUUAAGACUAUGUCCUCUUGUUGUGGUAGUUUUUCUUCUUUUAAAUAUAGUCUCCUCCUUUACUGUGUUGAUUCCUUUAUAUAUUUAAAUGUUUCUAUCAUAUCCCCCCUGUCUCGUCUUUCCUCCAAGCUAUACAUGUUAAGAUCCUUUAACCUUUCCUGGUAAGUUUUAUCCUGCAAUCCAUGAACCAGUUUAGUAGCCCUUCUCUGAACCCUCUCUAAAGGUAUCAAUAUCCUUCUGAAGAUACGGUCUCCAGUACUGUGUACAAUACUCCAAGUGAGGUCUCACCAGUGUUCUGUACAAUGGCAUGAGCGCUUCCCUCUUUCUACUGCUAAUACCUCUCCCUAUACAACCAAGCAUUCUGCUAGCAUUUCCUGCUGCUCUAUUACAUUGUCUGCCUACCUUUAAGUCAUCAGAAAUAAUCACCCCUAAAUCCCUUUCCUCAGAUGUUGAGGUUAGGACUCU